GACGAACGCUGGCGGCGUGCUUAACACAUGCAAGUCGAACGGAAAGGCCCUGCUUUUGUGGGGUGCUCGAGUGGCGAACGGGUGAGUAACACGUGAGUAACCUGCCCUUGACUUUGGGAUAACUUCUGGAAACUGGGGCUAAUACCGGAUAGGAGCUCCUGCUGCAUGGUGGGGGUUGGAAAGUUUCGGCGGUUGGGGAUGGACUCGCGGCUUAUCAGCUUGUUGGUGGGGUAGUGGCUUACCAAGGCUUUGACGGGUAGCCGGCCUGAGAGGGUGACCGGCCACAUUGGGACUGAGAUACGGAGCAGACUCCUACGGGAGGCAGCAGUGGGGAAUAUUGCACAAUGGGCGGAAGCCUGAUGCAGCAACGCCGCGUGCGGGAUGACGGCCUUCGGGUUGUAAACCGCUUUCGCCUGUAACGAAGCGUGAGUGACGGUAAUGGGUAAAGAAGCACCGGCUAACUACGUG
rnacentral:rRNA from 1 species